rnacentral:rRNA from 1 species
AGUCGACGGUGAGAGGAGCUUGCUUCUUGGAUCAGUGGCGAACGGGUGAGUAACACGUGAGUAACCUGCCCUUGACUCUGGGAUAACUGCUAGAAAUGGUAGCUAAUACCGGAUACGACCCUCGGCCGCAUGGUCAGGGGGUGGAAAGAAUUUUGGUCAAGGAUGGACUCGCGGCCUAUCAGGUAGUUGGUGAGGUAAUGGCUCACCAAGCCUACGACGGGUAGCCGGCCUGAGAGGGUGAACGGCCACACUGGGACUGAGACACGGCCCAGACUCCUACGGGAGGCAGCAGUGGGGAAUCUUCCGCAAUGGACGAAAGUAUGACGGAGCAACGCCGCGUGUAUGAUGAAGGUCUUCGGAUUGUAAAGUACUGUCUUUGGGGAAGAACAAUAGGUUUGAAAAUAUUGAAUCUAUAUGACGGUACCCAAGGAGGAAGCCCCGGCUAACUACGUGCCAGCAGCCGCGGUAAUACGUAGGGGGCAAGCGUUGUCCGGAAUUAUUGGGCGUAAAGGGCGCGUAGGCGGAUAGUUAAGUCCGGUGUGAAAGAUCAGGGCUCAACCCUGAGAGUGCAUCGGAAACUGGUUAUCUUGAGGACAGGAGAGGAAAGUGGAAUUCCACGUGUAGCGGUGAAAUGCGUAGAUAUGUGGAGGAACGCCAGUGGCGAAGGCGACUUUCUGGACUGUAACUGACGCUGAGGCGCGAAAGCGUG